GAAGAUUAUAUCCUUGAAAGAUUUUCGACAUAGAACAUGAUGCUGCUUCACAUCCUCUUUUAGAGACUCGAGGAUUACAAGACCGAAUUAAGCUGCAGGACCCUCCUGAUUCAUAAAGAUAUGGAACAUGACUCUGCUUCACAUCCUCUGUUUUAGAGACUCAAGAAAUACAAGACCAAAUUAAGGGUUUGCUUUUUAAUUCCAAUAAUAAUUUUCUGGAGGAAGAAUUAGGGAAUAAUGCAUUGACAAUAUGCCAAACAUCCUAUAUCAAACUGAAUUACUGCAUGUAUUUACAAUAGAGUGUUGUAACCGCCCCCCCCCCACACUACUGACCAAACAAAACCCAUAAACAAUUUAAGAGGGAUACGGUUAUUUUAGGGGUAAUUAUACUUGCUGAUUGUAGCAGUAGUUUUUACAAUUAUGGAUGUAGAUAAUGAUAAUGUUUAUAAUAAUAAUACUUAGAAUAAUAAAUUUAUUACAAUGACAUAACAGGAAUGAUAAAUAAAA